UACGAAGGGGGCUAGCGUUGCUCGGAAUCACUGGGCGUAAAGCGCACGUAGGCGGCUUUCUAAGUCAGGGGUGAAAUCCUGGAGCUCAACUCCAGAACUGCCUUUGAUACUGGAGAGCUUGAGUCCGGAAGAGGUGAGUGGAACUCCGAGUGUAGAGGUGAAAUUCGUAGAUAUUCGGAAGAACACCAGUGGCGAAGGCGGCUCACUGGUCCGGUACUGACGCUGAUGUACGAAAGCGUGGGGAGCAAACAGG
rnacentral:rRNA from 1 species